ACGGGGGGGGCAAGCGUUGUUCGGAAUUACUGGGCGUAAAGGGCGCGUAGGCGGUUGGAUAAGUCAGCUGUGAAAACCACGGGCUUAACUCGUGGCCUGCAGUUGAGACUGUCUGGCUUGAGUGUGGGAGAGGAGAGUGGAAUUCCUGGUGUAGCGGUGAAAUGCGUAGAUAUCAGGAGGAACACCGGUGGCGAAGGCGGCUCUCUGGACCACAACUGACGCUGAGGCGCGAAAGCUAGGGGAGCAAACAGGAUUAGAUACCCUGGUAGUCCUAGCUGUAAACGAUGGAUACUUGCUGUGGGGGGUGUUAAAUCCUCCUGUGGCGGAGCUAACGCAUUAAGUAUCCCGCCUGGGGAGUACGGUCGCAAGGCUG
rnacentral:rRNA from 1 species